rnacentral:rRNA from 1 species
ACUCAAAUGAAUUGACGGGGGCCCGCACAAGCAGUGGAGUAUGUGGUUUAAUUCGAAGCAACGCGAAGAACCUUACCAGGACUUGACAUCCCUUGACGACGGUAGAGAUAUCGUUUCCCUUCGGGGCAAGGAGACAGGUGGUGCAUGGUUGUCGUCAGCUCGUGUCGUGAGAUGUUGGGUUAAGUCCCGCAACGAGCGCAACCCCUGUUGUUAGUUGCCAUCAUUAAGUUGGGCACUCUAGCGAGACUGCCGGUGACAAAUCGGAGGAAGGUGGGGACGACGUCAAAUCAUCAUGCCCCUUAUGUCCUGGGCUACACACGUACUACAAUGGCUAUUACAGCAGGAUGCAAUAGAGCAAUCUGGAGCCAAUCCUCAAAAAUAGUCUCAGUUCAGAUUGUGGGCUGCAACUCGCCCACAUGAAGUCGGAAUUGCUAGUAAUUGCAGGUCAGCAUACUGCAGUGAAUACGUUCCCGGGCCUUGUACACACCGCCCGU